GACGAACGCUGGCGGCGUGCUUAACACAUGCCAGUCGAACGGUGAAGCGCCUUCCUUUUUGGUGGGUGUGGAUGAGUGGCGAACGGGUGAGUAACACGUGAGUAACCUGCCCCCUUCUUCUGGAUAACCGCAUGAAAAUGUGGCUAAUACGGGAUAUUCUGGGUCUGUCGCAUGAUGGGUCUGGGAAAGAUAUUGUUUCGGUGGGGGAUGGGCUCGCGGCCUAUCAGCUUGUUGGUGGGGUGAUGGCCUACCAAGGCGGUGACGGGUAGCCGGCCUGAGAGGGUGGACGGUCACACUGGGACUGAGACACGGCCCAGACUCCUACGGGAGGCAGCAGUGGGGAAUAUUGCACAAUGGGCGCAAGCCUGAUGCAGCGACGCCGCGUGAGGGAUGGAGGCCUUCGGGUUGUGAACCUCUUUCGCCAGUGAAGCAGGCCUGCCUCGUUUGUGGGUGGGUUGACGGUAGCUGGAGAAGAAGCGCCGGCUAACUACGUG
rnacentral:rRNA from 1 species